rnacentral:rRNA from 1 species
GAUGAGCGCUGGCGGCGUGCCUAAUACAUGCAAGUCGAGCGAACAGACGAGGAGCUUGCUCCUCUGACGUUAGCGGCGGACGGGUGAGUAACACGUGGAUAACCUACCUAUAAGACUGGGAUAACUUCGGGAAACCGGAGCUAAUACCGGAUAACAUGUUGAACCGCAUGGUUCAACAGUGAAAGACGGUCUUGCUGUCACUUAUAGAUGGAUCCGCGCCGCAUUAGCUAGUUGGUAAGGUAACGGCUUACCAAGGCAACGAUGCGUAGCCGACCUGAGAGGGUGAUCGGCCACACUGGAACUGAGACACGGUCCAGACUCCUACGGGAGGCAGCAGUAGGGAAUCUUCCGCAAUGGGCGAAAGCCUGACGGAGCAACGCCGCGUGAGUGAAGAAGGUCUUCGGAUCGUAAAACUCUGUUAUUAGGGAAGAACAAAUGUGUAAGUAACUAUGCACGUCUUGACGGUACCUAAUCAGAAAGCCACGGCUAACUACGUG